rnacentral:rRNA from 1 species
AUUGAACGCUGGCGGCAUGCCUUACACAUGCAAGUCGAACGGUAACAGGUCUUCGGAUGCUGACGAGUGGCGAACGGGUGAGUAAUACAUCGGAACGUGCCUAGUAGUGGGGGAUAACUACUCGAAAGAGUGGCUAAUACCGCAUGAGAUCUACGGAUGAAAGCAGGGGAUCGCAAGACCUUGUGCUACUAGAGCGGCCGAUGGCAGAUUAGGUAGUUGGUGGGAUAAAAGCUUACCAAGCCGACGAUCUGUAGCUGGUCUGAGAGGACGAUCAGCCACACUGGGACUGAGAAACGGCCCAGACUCCUACGGGAGGCAGCAGUGGGGAAUUUUGGACCAUGUGCGCAAGCCUGAUCCAUCAAUGCCGUGUGCAGGAUGAAGGCCUUCGGGUUGUAAACUGCUUUUGUACGGAACGAAAAGCCCCGGGUUAAUACCCUGGGGUCAUGACGGUACCGUAAGAAUAAGCACCGGCUAACUACGUGCCAGCCGCCGCCGUAA